rnacentral:tRNA from 1 species
CAAGGUAUAGCUUAAACAAAGCAUCUAGUUUACACCUAGAAGAUUUUACUCACCAUGAAUAUCUUGA